GGGUUCAUACGUUGGUCGGGCUUUAGGGUCUGUACUGGCGGGAUGAAUUCCUACCUUCUGAAUAACCAGCAUGUCAUUAAUUUGAUGCGCUGGGGAAGCAGGACUGUUACCUUGAAAAAAUUAGAGUGCUUAAAGCAGGCUAUUGCCUGAAUACAUUAGCAUGGAAUAAUGAAACAGGACGGCAUGGUUCUAUUUUGUUGGUUUCUAGGAUCACCGUA
rnacentral:rRNA from 1 species